UGAACCUAAGCAGUGAGGAUACACAACUCUGGUCAGUGAGUUUGUGUGGGAUCUCACAUUGCAAAGAACCCAUACAAUACAGCAUAGCCUUAGAGUGAGCAUUUGGAAGAAUUUGGGGCAGUGCGCAUUGACCGUCUGUCCAAGUGGGGAAGAAGGCCAGCAGCUCAUGUUGUCCCACAUUCCAGCACAUCUCCCUACGAUGGAAUAACAAGACAUCAGGCCACUUACUCGAUCGCUAGAGUAGACCAAGCUAUAAAGACCAUGAGAAGAGUAGACUAUGCUAGAGUAGACCACGCAUUCAAGACCAUGAGAAGUAAGCUCUGAAACUGCUUUCCUGAGGACUGGUCCUUCUACUGUUGAAACCAAUGGCAGCAGCAUGGAGAACCGUAUUCUGUCCACUCUCUAUAUGAAGGAUCAUCCAUUUCCAGGCAAUACGGAGACGAAAGAGGGAUCCCAGGUGCCAGGUGCUUUACUUAGAGCAAGCCCCACGUGGAAAUUUCCAGUGAUGACCAGAAAUUGGUCAAGAAGGCAGCUUUCCAAGUUGGAUCCAAGUUCACCUGGAGAGGCUUUGCAACCUCCUUUGUAGGGGAAUUUUUAAGGUCAGGUUACAGAACCGCUUGUCCAGAAUGACGUGGGUCUGGAUGGUCCUGCCUCGAGUAGGGGGUUAGACUAGAUGGCCUCCUAUCUGGGCUCUGACCUCCUAACCCUACUUUUCUAUGAUGCGAUGAUUCUACAUUUAGGUUAAAUUCACUGAAAUGAAAGGCAACUGCAUUAUUCACAUAAGAAACCAACCAAACAACAAACAAGAUCUUUGUGCUCAAGCAUGAGGCUAUAUCAGAUUUAGGGUGUGAAUAUGUUGGCACCCAGUUCUUACAAAGCAUCGUGGUAAGAUUAGACCCCAAAUGGCAGGAGUCUCAUCAUGGGACCGGCUCAUCACACCUGCUUAAUGCUGCAAAUCAGACCUUUGCACCCCGCACGUGGAGGCACCCAAAACUGCAGGCUUUCUACAGCUGAUCGUGCUUCUGAACAUCUAUAUUUAAACUUCCCUGUGCUGCAUAUGAAAACUGUGAAAGCUUGGACAGUGUGUCUUGCACAAAAAUGUAAGACCAGGGCUGGGGCAAGACUAGGUUGUGGUAACAAGACUGCCACAAGAAAAUCAAACUCCGCUAAUGGCUUGCAACCCAUUAGGCAUAAGAGAGAGUGGAGCCUUGCGGCUCCCAAUACCAGACCCAUGCCGUAAGGUAAUAACAGUCGCAAUAACAGUCCUCAACCUUCUACCACACCAGAGAAGUGAUGGUUAAAAGUAUUGACAGAGACCUAACACACUCGUUGCAUAGAUGUAACAAGACUCAGAGCAAGCCAGAAAGCCAAGUGGCCUGGGGAGAAACCUGCAAACUCAACCUACGUCUCAACUGAGCUAAAUGGCACUAGAGAAAACAAAAGAACUAAAAUAUCCACUUCAAUGCAAAAUAAGAGAAAAGAAAAGCCAAGGUGCAUUGAAAACAUGACUGGAAAUAUAUCCUGGUUAACUACAUUCCCCCUUUGAUUACGACCUAUUUCCCAAAGCACACAUCCAAUACCUGUCUAAAGUUUUAUGCUAAAUCAGUCUAAAUGACUGCAUUUAACCUAGCUCACACCUAUUGUCUGAUCCUCACGGCCUCACAUUUGCAUUUAUUAAGGCAUAUUUCUCAAAAUAGGCAGUCAAUCUCUAAAUGUUUAUUAUGCUAAACCAGUGUGUAUUCUCCUAAAACUCAUACCUAUUGUAUCCACUGGUCUCUGAUCUUCACUAUCUCCCUGAGCCAUUUGCUAUAGCAUUUAUUAGGCUCCAUUGUUAAAGUAACUACUGAAAAAUAAUAUUCUGUGAUCAAUACCCAUCCCAUUUGAUUCCUACAUCAGCUUGCACACUUCGCAAACACACAAACAGGGUACAAUUGUAAUACGUUAAUUCUGUCCUUGUCUGUUUUGUUCAGACUUUGAUUAACCAACUAUCAAGAAGGAAUGCUUUGAAGCUAUGCAAUUAAAACAGCAUAAAAAAGCAAGGCAGAACUGCCAGCAAGGUGUCUGUACAGUCCAGGAAAGAUCAAGAAGCCAUCCUGCCACCCAGCCGCAAGUGAAGGAUCCACACAAUGAGGCUGUGCAAGAACUGCGUCUUCCCUGCAUUGGAGAAAGUUUUCUUUGCACAAGGACUAAUAGCUCAUUUUAUAUUGAGAAAGAGUCUUUUUCUGUCAUCUAGCUUUGUAAUUUGUUGGUAGUUAUUAAAGCAAG